GUGGGGAAUUUUGGACAAUGGGCGCAAGCCUGAUCCAGCAAUGCCGCGUGCAGGAAGAAGGCCUUCGGGUUGUAAACUGCUUUUGUACGGAACGAAACGGUCCUGGCUAAUAUCCGGGGCUAAUGACGGUACCGUAAGAAUAAGCACCGGCUAACUACGUGCCAGCAGCCGCGGUAAUACGUAGGGUGCGAGCGUUAAUCGGAAUUACUGGGCGUAAAGCGUGCGCAGGCGGUGCUGUAAGACAGGCGUGAAAUCCCCGGGCUCAACCUGGGAAUUGCGCUUGUGACUGCAGUGCUGGAGUGCGGCAGAGGGGGAUGGAAGUCCGCGUGUAGCAGUGAAAUGCGUAGAUAUGCGGAGGAACACCGAUGGCGAAGGCAAUCCCCUGGGCCUGCACUGACGCUCAUGCACGAAAGCGUGGGGAGCAAACAGGAUUAGAUACCCCAGUAGUCC
rnacentral:rRNA from 1 species